AUGGUUGGUGAACAAAUACAUAUGUACAAAAAGUCUGCACAAAUAGAUAUGUUCAAUGGAAAUACACAAAAUAAUAGUCCUAGGCAUCCAAGAUACAGUACUGUGUGCCAUAGAUAUAGCCUAAAAUCUAACUCUGAGUCUCUAGAUAAUGUGAACCUGUGCUUAAUUAUAAAACUUGUGAUUCAAAAUCACAUGAGCAAGUUUCAGAUUUAUAAAUAUACUCAUGCUUUCCGAUUAACCAUCCCAGCUAAAACACCCAAGAAAUAUAUCAUGUUGACAACUUUACUACUUGCUUGCAGAAAGUGA
rnacentral:rRNA from 1 species